GCGGCAGGCCUAACACAUGCAAGUCGAGGGGUAUAGAUAGCUUGCUAUCUAGAGACCGGCGCACGGGUGAGUAACGCGUAUGCAACCUACCUUAUACAGGUGAAUAGCCCGGAGAAAUUCGGAUUAAUGCACCAUGGUUUAAUUUUGUGGCAUCUCAAGAUUAAUAAAGAUUUAUCGGUAUAAGAUGGGCAUGCGUAUCAUUAGCUAGUUGGUGUGGUAACGGCAUACCAAGGCAACGAUGAUUAGGGGUCCUGAGAGGGAGAUCCCCCACACUGGUACUGAGACACGGACCAGACUCCUACGGGAGGCAGCAGUGAGGAAUAUUGGUCAAUGGAGGCAACUCUGAACCAGCCAUGCCGCGUGCAGGAAGAAUGUCCUAUGGAUUGUAAACUGCUUUUGUACGGGAAGAAACAUCGCUACGUGUAGYGACUUGACGGUACCGUAAGAAUAAGGAUCGGCUAACUCCGUGCCAGCAGCCGCGGUAAUACGGAGGAUCCGAGCGUUAUCCGGAAUUAUUGGGUUUAAAGGGUUCGUAGGCGGUUUAUUAAGUCAGUGGUGAAAUUUCUUAGCUUA
rnacentral:rRNA from 1 species